rnacentral:tRNA from 2 species
GGGGCCAUAGCUCAGCUGGGAGAGCGCUUGCAUGGCAUGCAAGAGGUCGUCGGUUCGAUCCCGACUGGCUCCACCA